UACGAAGGGGGCUAGCGUUGCUCGGAAUCACUGGGCGUAAAGCGCACGUAGGCGGAUCUUUAAGUCAGGGGUGAAAUCCCGGAGCUCAACUCCGGAACUGCCUUUGAUACUGAGGGUCUUGAGUCCGGGAGAGGUGAGUGGAACUGCGAGUGUAGAGGUGAAAUUCGUAGAUAUUCGCAAGAACACCAGUGGCGAAGGCGGCUCACUGGCCCGGUACUGACGCUGAGGCACGAAAGCGUGGGGAGCAAACAGG
rnacentral:rRNA from 1 species